rnacentral:rRNA from 1 species
GAUGAACGCUGGCGGCGUGCCUAAUACAUGCAAGUCGAGCGAACAGAUGAGGAGCUUGCUCCUCUGACGUUAGCGGCGGACGGGUGAGUAACACGUGGAUAACCUACCUAUAAGACUGGGAUAACUUCGGGAAACCGGAGCUAAUACCGGAUAAUAUAUUGAACCGCAUGGUUCAAUAGUGAAAGACGGUUUUGCUGUCACUUAUAGAUGGAUCCGCGCCGCAUUAGCUAGUUGGUAAGGUAACGGCUUACCAAGGCGACGAUGCGUAGCCGACCUGAGAGGGUGAUCGGCCACACUGGAACUGAGACACGGUCCAGACUCCUACGGGAGGCAGCAGUAGGGAAUCUUCCGCAAUUGGCGAAAGCCUGACGGAGCAACGCCGCGUGAGUGAUGAAGGUCUUCGGAUCGUAAAACUCUGUUAUUAGGGAAGAACAAAUGUGUAAGUAACUAUGCACGUCUUGACGGUACCUAAUCAGAAAGCCACGGCUAACUACGUG